rnacentral:lncRNA from 1 species
CCCUUUUGGCAUUGUGAGUUCUUCUACUGGUGGCUCACAAUACUUUGAGGAACUGUACCAGUACUUACAAAGAUGAUAUACAAAAGAACAUAUCCUAUGUAAUCAAUCAUAUUAGUGCAACCGUGCAAUCAAGUGAUCUGGUGUAUCCGAUCAAAAUCCAACGGUAACUGCUAUUUUAUAUUUAACCUCUUCCACCUGAAACCUAGUACCUAUUUUAUAUUUAACUUUUUCCACCUAAAAUAGUAGUCAUCGUAGUAUGUUGAUUGGAUGCACCAAAUUAUUUGAUUGUAUGGUUGCAUCGACAUGAUUGAUUGCAUAGAAUAUCUUCCUAAGAUAUAAUGUGCAAUCAAAACGUGUUUUGACCUUUUUAUUUUGGUAUGCAUUUGCUAAACUUACAAAAUGUGAUGUGUUUGCUAGGGUUGGCAUCUAUGUGAUCCAUAUGCUAGAUUUGUUUUUGAGGCUUUGCAAAGGCUGGUGUCAAAAAUAAUUGUCAUGUCCAACUUUGACAUGCCUUCGACAAAUUUUACAAGCACUGAAAUGUGAUGUGACCGCUGGUUUGAUUCAGUUGCUGUAUGUGCUGAGGUACUGAAAUGUGAUGUGACUGCUGGUUUGAUUCAGUUGCUGUAUGUGCUGAGGUUGGUUUCCGUUUCAGAAUAUUCCUUAGACGGGCUUGUUUAACUAGAUCUGAUCAUGGACCACCUGACGCGCCCGAAAAAAAAUGGCUCAACCCGACCCGACCAAUACAACGGGCGGGUACUGGUCAUAACUUUUAACCUGUAAUAAUUCAUGGGUCGAGUACGGACCAUAAUUUUUGACCUGAAACCCGAUCCAACCCGAAAAACCCUGAUCCGACACGUCAAAUAGAGAGACACAAGCCAACCCGACACGACACUAGACACGGAUUAAGUAUGGGUCAUGCUAAUUGGUCCACGGUCCAAUCUUGACCCGAUCUGAACCCGACCCGACGUUUGAAUAGGUCUAUGUUUAACUAAUCUUUUUAGUUUAGCUUUGGCCUUGUAUCUAUGAGCUUGUUUGUAAACUUUAGCUGCAAAUUUCCUAUCAAUGUCAUAAACUUUGUAUCUAUGUGCUUGUUUUUAAAAUUUAGCUGCAUUUUUCCUACUAAUGUUGUCAUAAACUCUGUCCAUUGAUGCUCAACUUUCAGGUAGCAGCAAAAAAGUCAAACCCUGCAAUAUUCUUGACGGUCUAUGAGAUGUUAGGAGCGAAACUGAAACCUGAAGAAUAUGUGCAUAUUGGUGAGGACAGUAGGAACCACUUAUUGGGAGCUAGGGAUGCUGGUUGCGAUACCUUGUUUUUGAGACUGAUGUUUCUCCUUCGAGGAGGUAUAUUAUUUGAGGCAAUUCCAUAUUUGACACUAAAAAAGUUUAUGAUUCUUUUCUUGGCC